GUGCUCGCUUCAGCAGCACAUAUACUAAAAUUGGAAUGAUACAGAGAAGAUUAGCAUGGCCCCUGUGCAAGGAUGACAUGCAAAUUAGUGAAGCGUUCCAUAUUUUU
rnacentral:snRNA from 1 species